AUUGAACGCUGGCGGCAGGCCUAACACAUGCAAGUCGAACGAGUGGCGGACGGGUGAGUAAUGUCUGGGAAACCGCCUGAUGGGGGGGGAUAACUAGUGGAAAAGGUCGCUUAUUACGCCUACUAUCAGAUGUGCCCAUAUGGGAUGAGCUGGUUGGGGGGGUAACGGCUCACCAAGGCGACGAUCGCGAGCUGGUCUGAGAGGAUGACCGGCCACACUGGAACUGAGACACGGCCCAGACUCCUACGGGAGGCAGCAGUGGGGAAUAUUGCACAAUGGGCGCAAGCCUGAUGCAGCCAUGCCGCGUGUGUGAAGAAGGCCUUCGGGUUGUAAAGUACUUUCAGCGGGGAGGCGUUACCCGAAGAAGAAGCACCGGCUAACUCCGUGCCAGCAGCCGCGGUAAUUC
rnacentral:rRNA from 1 species